rnacentral:rRNA from 1 species
UUCUAGCAUAUAUUAAAAUUGCUGCAGUUAAAACGCUCGUAGUUUGAAUUAUUUUCCAAAGAGAUGAUUGGAUGCCUGUGCGCGCUGCACGCGGAGCAAUCCCGGGUGGCGGGCGCGGUAAAAAAAAAUCCGUCGCUUUUUUGUGAAUUAUAUUAAAAGACCUCGGGUGAGGGCGCUUUAAGUAGGGCCCCAUCCAGUUAACCAUGAACAAAAAUUAUUGCUCAAAGAAGGACGGACAGUCCAUUGAGAUUUCAGCAUGGGAUUAUGGAAUAGGGGAAGAGAGCGUGGCGUGGCGGACUACGAGAGCCGCGGGGCUGCGCCUUUUUCAAUGGUUAAUGAGGACGAUUGCGUGGAAGUUCAUAUUAAAAUGUCAGAGGUGAAAUUCUUGGAUUAUUUUAAGAUGAACCUCAGCGAAGGCAUUCUUCAAGUGCGUGCCUGUCAA